rnacentral:lncRNA from 1 species
UCGGGUAAUCUAAAAAAGUCUGUUUUCAAGUGAAUUUCUACUUUUGAAAUGGACGAGAGCCAUUGCCCCAAGCCAGAGAUAACUAACCAACCAAUUUCCUGAUCCACUUGAAUUUCUACUUGACUAGUAGAGCCAGGCAGGCUACUGUUCUUGCUACGACGAAAUCCUAAAAAAAUGAAAUCUGUUCUCGGUAGCAAGUAUUGCCCGCAGCUGAU